GAGGGUAUAGCUCAGUGGGAGAGUGCUUGCUUAGCAUGCAUGAGGUCCUGAGUUCAAUCCCCAGUACCUCCA
rnacentral:tRNA from 1 species